GUCCCAGACUCCUACGGGAGGCAGCAGUGGGGAAUCUUCCGCAAUGGGCGCAAGCCUGACGGAGCAAUGCCGCGUGAACGAAGAAGGUCUUCGGAUUGUAAAGUUCUGUCCUUAUCGAAGAGAGGGUAUAGAGUGAAAAAUGAUAUACUAGGACGGUAGAUGAGGAGGAAGCCCCGGCUAACUACGUGCCAGCAGCCGCGGUAAUACGUAGGGGGCGAGCGUUGUCCGGAAUCACUGGGCGUAAAGGGCGCGCAGGCGGCGCGCCGAGUCUGAUGUGAAACCCCGGGGCUCAACCCCGGGCAUGCAUUGGAAACUGGCGGGCUGGAGUGCCGGAGAGGUAAGCGGAAUUCCUAGUGUAGCGGUGAAAUGCGUAGAUAUUAGGAGGAACACCAGUGGCGAAGGCGGCUUACUGGACGGCAACUGACGCUGAGGCUCGAAAGCGUGGGGAGCAAACAGGAUUAGAUACCCCGGUA
rnacentral:rRNA from 1 species